rnacentral:rRNA from 1 species
GUGCCAGCAGCCGCGGUAAUACGGAGGGUGCGAGCGUUGUUCGGAAUCACUGGGCGUAAAGGGCGUGUAGGCGGUCUGUUAAGUCUGAUGUGAAAGCCCGGGGCUCACCCCCGGAAGUGCAUUGGAUACUGGCGGACUCGAGUCUCGGAGAGGAGGGUGGAAUUCCUGGUGUAGCGGUGAAAUGCGUAGAUAUCAGGAGGAACACCGGUGGCGAAGGCGGCCCUCUGGACGAUGACUGACGCUGAGACGCGAAAGCGUGGGGAGCAAACAGGAUUAGAUACCCUGGUAGUCCACGCUGUAAACGAUGAGCACUAGGUGUCGUGGGUAUUGACCCCCGCGGUGCCGCAGCUAACGCAUUAAGUGCUCCGCCUGGGGACUACGGCCGCAAGGUUAAAACUCAAAGGAAUUGACGG